GCAGAUCGGGUGGAAUUAUGACGAUUUGGAAUCCGGAGAUUUUUUCAAGUUCCAGUCAUUGGGAAAUUCCGGGAGCUCUCAUUGUUAAUGGUAAGUGGACCUCUAAUAAUCUCUCGGGUUGUGUCGUUAACGUUUAUGCUCCGCAGUCCUUGUGCGAUAGAGAGGUGUUAUGGGAUAGACUUGGAUUGGUGAUUGGUCAAAAAUAUUGGAUUCUUGUUUUUGUAUCGCCGGUGAUUUCAAUUCUAUUCGGAAGGAAGGUGAAAGAGUGGGGAGAGGCUCGCAGUUCUCAACUAGAGAUAUUCUCGCUUUUGAUGGCUUUGUGAAGAACAAUGAUCUGUUGGAGGUUAAUCUUCAAGGUAGGAAUUUUACUUGGUACCAACCUAACGGCCAAUGUAAGACAAAACUUGAUCGUUUCUUUGUCAAUGACAAUUGGAUGGAAGCUUGGCCACACUCAAAGGCGAAAGGCCUUCAAAGGUCUAUUUCAGAUCAUUGUCCUAUUUUGUUGGAUACUAAGUGGAUCGACUGGGGACCCAAACCCUUUCGGUUUAUUAACGCAUGGACCAAUCAUCCAGACUUUGAGAAAAUUGUCAAAGAAUCGUGGGAGCGGGGUGGUAUUACUGGAUGGAAGAGCUUUGUCUUCAAAGAGAAGUUAAAGAGGCUUAAAGGAGAUCUGAAAAGAUGGAAUUCUACGACUUUUGGGUCAAUUGAGAUGAAUAUCAAGGAUCUGAGAGAUGAUAUUAAUAAGUGGGAUGUGGUGGAUGAUACUUUCGGUCUUGAAGAAGAAGAAUUUAUUAAGAGGAACGAAGCGUUGGCUGAACUGACCAUUCAGCUGAAACACAAAGACAACCUCCUUUCACAAAAGGCAAGAACUCGGUGGCUUCUUGAUGGGGAUGUUAAUAGCAGUUAUUUCCACAAGGUUAUCCGAGGAAGAAGAAACAAAAAUGAGAUCGGCGGACUGUGGGAUAAUAACCGAUGGGUUGAAGAUCCACAAGAAGUGAAAAAGACGGUUAAAGAUUUUUUCCAAAAUCAAUUUAGAAGUGGUUACCAGGUCAGGCCUCGAAUACCAGAAGGCUUUGUGCAUAAGAAACUUUCUGAUGAUCUUAGAGACGGGCUUGAAUCCACUUUUACAGAAGAAGAGAUCAAAAUGGCAGUUUGGAGUUGCGACGGGGGAAAGAGUCCUGGGCCCGAUGGUUUCAAUUUUGUCUUCAUGAAAAAGUGUUGGGGGAUCAUUAAGACAGAUCUUAUUGGCGUGCUGAAUGAGUUUCAUUCUCAUGGGACUUUGGUGCGGGGUAGCAAUCCUUCUUUUAUCACCUUGAUCCCUAAAAAAGAAGGAGCUUCGAAGCUUAAUGACUUCAGGCCGAUUUCGCUCAUCAACUGCCUCUACAAGGUUAUUGCAAAGGUCAUUGCUUCUAGGAUGAAAAGGGUGAUGAAUUACAUCAUUUCAGAAUUUCAAAGUGCUUUCAUCGAAGGGAGAUUUAUUCUCGAUGGGGUGGUUGUGCUUAACGAGAUCAUUGCAGAGGCUAAGAAAAAGAAGAAAGGUGUCUCAAUGUUUAAAAUUGAUUUUGCAAAAGCAUACGACUCAGUUGAAUGGGAUUUUCUCGACGCCAUGCUUGAAAAUAUGAAUUUUGGAUCAAGAUGGAGGAAAUGGAUUUCGGGUUGUCUCCAAUCUGCCUCGGUUAAUGUGCUGGUGAAUGGGAGCCCAUCAGGGGAAUUUCAUAUUGAGAAAGGUCUUCGCCAAGGUGACCCACUGUCUCCUUUUCUUUUCUUGAUUGUUGUUGAAGGUUUGCAUCUUUUGAUUGAAAAGGCUGUCCAACAUAAGAAGCUGGAGCCAGUCACAAUCGGAAAAGGAGAUCUUUGCUUUUCCCAUCUGCAAUAUGCAGAUGACUCGAUUUUAAUCGCCACAGAAAAAAAGGAAAAUGCUUGGGGUUUUAAAUGUAUUCUCAAACUGUUUGAGGCUCUCUCAGGGCUCAAAGUUAAUUUUGAUAAGAGUGUCUUGGUGGGUAUCGGCAUGAGAGAAUGGCAAGUUUCUCAGAUGGCUGCGACGCUCAAUUGCCAAACCGGGAACCUUCCUUUCAAGUACCUUGGAAUUAAGGUUGGGACGAGUUUACAUAAAUCAGUUGAGUGGAACUAUUUGGUGGAAAAGGUGAGGAACAAAGUCUCGAAGUGGAAAAACAAGAAGCUUUCAUUUGCAGGAAGGGUUACUCUUAUUCGGUCUGUUCUUACCGCUAUUCCAAUUUAUCAACUGUCCUUCGCAGUGAUGAACAAAGGAGUGUUGUCUCAAAUCCGCAAAAUUUUGGGGAGUUUUCUGUGGGGGGGAGGGUCGGGAGAAAGGAAAUUACAUUGGGUCAAAUGGGAGAAUAUUUGUAGAGAUCGGGACCUAGGAGGUUUAGGCAUUAAAAAUUUGGAGUGGUUCAAUAUAUCCCUUAUGACCAAAUGGAUUUGGCGUUUCCUCACGGAGCGCGAUUCUCUUUGGACUCGGGUUAUUAGAGAAUGCAGGGGGGAUAUAUCGUGGGACGAGGAUGGUUUUAAAUUUCUUGGGCCUAGGAAGGAGAGUUCGGGGUGGUGGAAGAGAGUGUUGGAGUUAAGCAGGGGGGAGAGUGGGAGUUGGAUGAGGGAGAAUCUAGAAGUCAAUGUGGGGGAAGGAAAUGGGCUUUUAUUUUGGCACCACAGCUGGGUGGGGGGAAAAAGUCUCAAAGAGUCGUUUCCAAGGUUGUUUAGGAUCAGUACUAAACAGGGGGGAGAGAUUAGAGAUUUUGGAGAGAGGGUCGACGGAGUUUGGGCGUGGAACCUUGAGUGGGACAGACCGUUGAGGGGGAGGGAGAUGAACCUCUUCUCUAAUCUUCUUUCUUUGAUCCAAAAUGUUCAAGUCUUGGCAGGUACAACAAUUGGGUGGAAAUGGAAGGCUGACCCGAAAGGUUUGUUUUCGGUGAGAUCGGCAUACAAGGUGAUCAGCCAAAAAAUGGUUACGGCCACGGAGGUUCAAAGUGCGCCGGAGUUCACAAUCAUUUGGAAAGCGCCGGUUCCGAUGAAGGUGAAAACGACGAUUUGGUUUCCUUAAUCCCGGAUCACGAACAUAUUCAUUAAAAUUUGUUUCAGUUUCCACAUUUUCUUCAACUUCUACAUUUGCUUCAGCAUUUGCUCCAAUAAAAGGUGUAAUUGAAGCACUUGAAGAUUCACCUCUACGUUUUUAGAAAAAAAAAAAACGUUCAAAUUUCCUAUAAAAUUAAAUUAAUUCAAAUUCAUAAAUUGAUUGCUAAGCUGAAAUUAAUAGAUAAAUAAGUCAUACCCUAUUAAUAAACGAAAUUGAUUCACAAAUUAAUAGGCGAAAAAAUCUCAAGACACUACCUCUUGGUCUCUGAACUGAAAUGGAAAGUGGAAUUAAUUGAAUGUCCUAAUCACAAUUCUCAAAUUAAUAAACGAAAUUAAUUGAUUCACAAAAAAUUGUAAUUGAAUGUCAUAAUCACAAUUCACAAAACAAUUUAAUUCCACCGUCCACUUUAGACUCCACCAAUUCACUCCACAAAUUAAUUCCACCGCCCAUUCCCACCAAUUGCAAGAUAAUAUGGUUUAAAAGAAAAUAAAAUUGAUCCCAUCUCACAAAUCACAAGGUGGAAUCAGCAAAGUUCAUCUCACAAAUAAAAUUCGCAUAUGUAAGCAAACUACCUCUUGUUCUCUAAAAUGGAAGGUGGAAUCAGUCAGCACAGCGGUGGUGCCGUGGUGGACCGGUGGUGCGAUGGCCGACGGUGGUGGCGCGAGCGGAAGGUGGUGGCGGCGCAAGGUGGGUUCAGCGUUCAGGCUGGGUGAGUUUCGCGGCGAGGGUUUGUGAAUUGUGAGUCUGUGACGCAGCCCGUUUUAAUUUUCGUUUUAUAUAUAUAUAUAUAUAUAUAUAUAUAUAUAUAUAUAUAAUUUUAGGUUUCGAUUAAAGUUUAAACUUCACAUAUACUCCCUCCGCCCCAAACGAAAUGUCAUGACUCAUGUUUUCCUUUUUGGGCUGUACCAAACGAAAUGUCUUGUUUCCUUUUUUGGCAAUACACUUUCUAUCUAUACUUAAUAUUUAAAUAAUUUUCAUCAACCCACUUUAUCUACUUUAUACACAUUUCUUAAUCUCCGUGUCGAAAAGAAAUGAGAUAUUUCGUUUGGGACGGAGGGAGUACAUGAACUGAUUUCUGUUUUUCAGCAACUGUCUAAGAUUCUGACUAAUAAUUGGUAGUUUUUCUUAUACAAGUACCUUUAUUUAAGAAAAAUGUAAGAACUUUCAAAAAUUCAUACAAAAUAAUCAACAUCCAAUCCAAGGGUGUAUUUCUUUUUUUCAGAGGUCCAAGGGUGUAUUUCUCACUUCACUUAUAUUUGAGUAUUUUCUACAUAUUUUUUUAGUUGAUAUUUUUCACAUACAAAUGAUCAAGGUGAGUAUUUUAACAUAUUAAAACCUAAUUUAAUGGGACAACUCAAAAAAUAUACAAGUAAAAUCAAAUGGGAGUAUAUGACCCCGGAGUAUAAGUUAGUUUUAAAGAUCUCGAACAAAUUUUAAGUUUUUGAGGUGAAAUACUAAUGAAAACGACAUUAGGAUCACAAGUGAAAAAGCCAGAGACAAAGCCAAGCCCCGGGCUCGACUUGGCAUUCGUCCCAAUAUUUUUAUAAUUAUUAUAUUUAAGUCGUAUUUUAUACUUUUUCAAUUUUUAUAUAUAAAAUUUUAAUUUUACCUGCUCAAAUUUAUUUUUUAACACAAAAUAUAAUUUCAUCCUCUCAUCUUGAAAAUUCUAGUGUCGUCCGUAACAAGAGGAAUUCAUUGCUCAGUGCUUUUGAAAAGAUCUUAGAACUAAUUCCUCCAUACCUUUGAGUUGAGUCGAAGGGCUAAUUACAAAUGCACGCGACACUCGUGAAUAAUGAAGCCAAAAAUGCAUUUUUUAUACUACUCCCUCCGUCCCAAUAUUCAAGUCUCCUUACUUUUGGGCACGUGUAUUAAAUAGAGUUAAAUUAUAUGUAAAAGUAGUAGGGACCACAGAAUUAGUGCUUUAUUUAAUACAGCACUAAUUACACAAUUAAUCAGGGGAACCAAAAAACAGAACACCAAGAAACAAACAUAGAUCUCACCCGAAACCAAAUAAUCAUGAGAAACAGGGAAGAUCUCAUCGGAAACAAAUAAGCAUGAGAAACAGGGAAGAUCUCACCAGAAACAGAAUUGGGAACAUGUGUGUGAGCAUCCGAAGGUGGGCUUUGGAUGCAAUGGGCCACCACUCGUUUGGUUUCUCCAAUUCCGCCUCCAAUUCCUUCGAAUUCGCCUGCCAUCUAGGGUUUUCCUCGCUCAGAAAGUCAAUUCUCCAAGUUUCAUGACAGAGAAAGUCGAAAUCUCUCUUGAUUUCAGAGGAUUUAGGGAACCUCUCUCUCGUUUUCACCCUUGCGGGGCGUCGGAUGAUCGCAGGUCGAAACGGAGGAGAAUGACUCUCAUCUACCUCAUACUCUCGGACGCCCUCGCUCUCUGACGCGCCACCACCACACUCCUCGGGCAACACCGGCAACGUCUCCAACAGGGAGAAAGGGAAAAACACCGGUGGUGGAUCACCCCACAACGACAGAGAAUCUUCGGUAUCGGGAAUCACUUCAUCGCUCAGAUAUUCCUUCCAACCAUACGAAGGGUUCAUCACGGCGGAGGAGAAGAACGGAGAAAGGCGGCGGACUGAAAGAAUGGAGAAAGACGGCGAGCCUUAGGGUUUUCACCUGAAGAGGGCGGCGCUUGAUUUUAGAGAGAAAGGGCGAAGAGAGAGAGUGAGAGAUUCGAUAUAGGCUAGGGUUAGCAAUAGAUAGGGAGAGAGAGAGUUGUUGUAGUGGAGAGAGAGAGAGAGAGAGAGAGAGGGAGAAUUGUUAAUUAAUUGAACUAAUUGUAGCUUAAUUUAUGCUAAAAAAUUAAGGAAAUGAGACUUGAAUAUUAGGACGGCUCAAAAAGGAAUAGGAGACUUGAAUAUUGGGACGGAGGGAGUAUGUUUUAUAGGUGUACAUGUAUUAAUGGAUACUAGAUAGUAGAUAGUACAAUAUUCUUUAUAUACGUCGCACAAUUCACAUAGAGAGUGUUUAAUUUGCAUGAUUGAUAGUAUUUUUUCAAUCCUAUAAUUUUAAUGGAUAUGAAUCAAACAAAACUAACUUAAAUAAUACGGAGUAAAAAUAAUCAAGUACCUUCGGAUAUCCAUUUUGAUUCGUCAAAGUAAACAAGAUAUUAGUCUUAUUUAUGUUUAUCUAUCAAGACUAAUCCUUCAAAGUAAAUGAAAGAGCAUUUAGUUUGCUUGAUGGAUAAGAGGCAUGAUUCGGUAGGAUUUCUCCAAUCCCACUCUUUCAAUGAGAUAAGAAUCAACCUAAAUUAGCUUAAAUGAUAAACAUAAUCAAAGGUGAUUUUGAAAUAUUUCAGAUUUUCAAUCUAUCUAAAUAAACAAGAAAUGAGUCUUAUUAUAUUUAUCUAUAACAAAUAAUCUUGUAAAGUAAACAUCCUUGAGUGUGAUAUCUAUCAAAUAUUACUUGCAUAUAUUGCAGCUACUACAACAUUUGGAUUUGACUCACAAUCAACAAAAUUUAUAUAAACUACUAUAAUUAAUAACCUUACAAUUCUUUUUGGUUUAGUAUAGUUGUAAUCUGUUAGAGCAAUUCCUUUUUAAUCUAAAAUGUGAAAUUACAAUAAAGUUUCAUGAAGUCAAUGAGACCUAAUUCAAGUGGUAAAAUUGAAGUGCCAUGAUAUUCUUUUUUUUGCCAGAGAUUUUUAAAUUUAUUUUUAAAUUCAAUCUCGUCUGCAUGCAAUAUUGUAUUAUAUUUUCUAUUUUUCUGUGUGGUAAUAUAUUUCUUAUAUUUGUGCGAAUAUAGCUUUGCAUGCAUGACAUCAAUCUUCAUAGUGGGAGACACAUUUACAUUAAUAAACUAUACGAUUAUCAAGUAAUUUUCAAGAGGAUUGUUUCUACGAAACGCGUUUAUACUUUUCCUUUCGUUUUUUUCUUCGAAAGCGACGACUUUUAUACUUAUACUACCUUUAUAUACCGCUUCAAAUGGUUAUAGUAUUUUAAAUUUUGGCACAGGACUUUAAGUAACUAAAUCCUACAUUAAAAAAUCAAAAUAAAAUAAUAAAACUAUGACAUGGGAUUAACAUACACCAACUGUAAUUAGCCAUUUUAAAUGUCAGCAAAGAAGGUGACAAAAACCUUCACAGUCAAAUCUUGAGCCAUCAAUUCUUCAAAUCUAAACAGCCCAAAACGUGUUGCUGCACGAACAAGGAGAGAGAGAGAGAGAAUAUCUAGCAUCUCUGUUCACAGGAAAUCUAACAUCUCUGUCAUCGACUAUAUUGGAAAUUGACAUUAAUUAAUUGUUGCCCGCAGAUUUCAUUUUCAAGAAUUCUAUCCAUCAAAACUUGUAUGUACUAAAAUUUUCACAAAAAAAAAAAGAAAGAAAAUUAUUUUAUAUACUAGAUUUGACUAAUUAUCCCCAACUUUACAUCAAUACUUUGUUUUCUUUUUCUCUAAAUUCAAAUUUGUAAUAUGUUCAGACUCCAUUAUAUUAUCAGUAUCAGUAUGUUUUUUCUUUUUGACAAAAUAUAUAUAUAUAUAUAUAUAUAUUAAAAAUUCAAAAUACCAAUAUCAUUAUAUAAUUUACGCACGACUUAUAUUUGCAAUCUGAUUGAGAUAUAGCUAGUACGUAUUUAUGAAUAGACGAGAAGGAUUAUAACUAAUUAGUAAGAACAGUUAUAGUACUUUAGUUUUAGAUCAUUACCCCUAAUCUCGAAUUUGCCAUUCCAGAAUUAGAAAAAUAAUUGGGCAUAUUCAAGAUUUGUAAAAAUCAACUUAUAUAUACGACAAUGAAAAAGUAAAACUGUAGAAGCAUAAAGCAAGUUUUUCUCUUCAUACCCGCCAUGCAUAUCCCACGUAUGGAUUUACUUAGGGGCUGCACAGGGCUCCAGCCCAGUGCAACCCCAAUCUUUUUUUUUUACAUAUAUAUGUAAUAUAUUUAGCUUAAUAUGUAUAUAGUUCAAUUCAUAGCCCAGUCUAGUCUAAAAAAAGAUAAUUUUUUUAACAUAAUAAUAAAAAUUAAUUUAUUUUAUUAAAACUAGAAUAAUUUUUAAAAAAUGUAUAGAUGUAGCUCUUUAUGUGCUUCAAACCUAUUAUUGAAUCAAUAAAAAGAGUACAACUUAUUAAGUGAUUGAUUUUUAAUUCUAAGUCCAUUAAAAUUCUACUUAGACACAAAAAAAAUUGUACAAAAAAACUGUCCAAAAAAAAUUAGGCUCGGGGGCGGCAGCCCCCAAACCCCCGUACAAUACCUUCAAGAAGUUCAGCCCCCCCUAUCAACAAAUUCUAGAUCCGCCCCUAUAUAUAUAUAUAUAUGACCCUAAUUUUAGCAGUCCCCACACUUGUUAUUAGACCCACUUGACCGUCUUCAUAUUCGAAUCUAAGUCUAUAAUUAUAGUAUUAUGUUUGAGUGAUUAAAAAAAAAUAGUAAUAGUUUCUAUGCGAGAACUUAUUAUAUAUUUUUUAAUGGAUAAGUUGCAUGAAAAUACUCGACCUUAUACCAAAAUUUAAUUUUUUUGACAAAUUUUUUAAUUAUAGCAAAAAAUAUAAUGACCUUGCAAUCGAUUGCAAUGUCGGUUCAGAGACAUUUUUCCCCCCAAAUCGAUGCCAAGGUGAAUCUCCGAAAAGCUAAGAUGGUUAGUCGGGCCGACUUUUUUUUUGGUUAGUCGGGCCGACUAAUGAAACAAUGUCGUUCCCAUUUGCAUAAAACGACGUCGUUUUAAUAAGAAAUAAAUCGGUUGCGAUACAUAUAAGGAUUAGGGAUUUGAUCAAGCUUAUCUCACCAUCUCUUCUUCCCAUUGUUCUCCCCUCUCCUUCAACAGAAUUCUUCAAGAAAUUCAUCCAAUUUCAAGAAACGAAGUCGUUUUGGUCCCAAUAAAAAACGACGUCGUUCAGUCAAAAAGAAUACAACUAAUUUUUGCCACAUCGGAUAAAGCUCACACGUAAGCAGUGAACCCUAAUUGAAUUUAGCAGGAAAAUGUCUCUGGAUCGACAUUGCAACCGAUUGCAAAGUCGUUAUAUUUUUUGCUACAAUUAAAAAAUUUGUCAAAAAACCAAAUUUUGAUAUAAAAUCCGGUAUUUUCAUGCAAUUUACCUUUUUUUUUUUAAUACUAUAGCAUGUACUUUCCGGUUCAAGUCCAAAAUUUGAGGUUGAAUGAUCACAUAACAUAAGAAAUACUAGUAAUACUUUUUCAGUAUAUAAAUAAAUAUUUUUUCGACCCAAAUCCAUAAUCUAUUUUGAGUAAUUAAUUAAUAGCCUUUAAUCCAUAAAUAUUUUUGAACCAAACCCAAAUAUUUCGCCUUUUUAUGCAGAAAAAAAUACUGCAUAUACAAGGAACUAACUCUCUAUAACUUAACACCUUUCCGAUUUGCCUCAAAUUCACUUUUUGAUUGAAUCACAGAACGUUACCUUCGUCUAUAUAUAUGUUUUGGGCUUAGAUAUGAGACUCGUCUGAAUAUGGAUACAAGUUAAUUAGACUAUCUAACACAAUUUUUUAUUAUUUUAAUGUAACCAGCAUGUGCACUCGUGCUCGAAAAAUAUUUUUAUAUUUUAUUAUAUAUAAAAUUUCUUAUCAUUUGAUUAUUAUAUAUUUUUUUAAAUAUAAUUAAAAAUACUACUCCCUCCGUCUCACUCCAAUAUGGUCAUUUUCCUUUUUGGGAUGUCCACUCCAAUAGGCUCAUUUUCCUUUUUGGGUAAAAAAAUUGUACUUAAUUGGUGUGGACCACACCACGUUCCUACCACUUUCCUACUAAAAAGUAAGUUUUCUUAAUCUCCGUGCCCAAGAGAAGUGAGCCUAUUGGAGUGAGACGGAAGGAGUAUAAUUUAAGAUAAAUAUAUUUUAAUUUAAUAUAAAAAUAAUAAAGAAUAAUUCAUAUUAUUAAAAAUUUAUAUUGUAAAAAAAAAUAUAAUUUAAAACAUAAUUGAAAAAUAUAUUUAUUCAAAAAAAGAGGAGAGAGGAGAGAGAAUUUUCUGAAGUUUUAAUAUUUAAAUAAAUAUAAUUUUUAUAUUUUAAAUCCAAUAUUUACAUAACAUAUAUCAAAUUAAAGCUCUUGUCAUGAUCUUUAAUUUGAUAUGCAUAUCAAAUAUUUUAUAAUUAGUCGAAUUUCACAAUUUAAAAAAAAUAGAAAAAUAAGAAGUUAAAAAAAAAGAUGUAUAGCUUAUAAAUAAACCUUCAAUUUUAUUCUAACUACAAAAUUGCCACUCAAUUUUAAAAUUAAUUUGAAAUUAAUUUGAAAUUGAAAACUCUCUUUUCAAUAUAGUAUAGAUAGAUAUAUUGUUUAAUAUAUUUAAAGUUCUAUAGAUAUAAAUACUACACAUCUUUAAUUAGAUUUAUGUGUCCCCGAAAUGUAAUGGGUUCACGCAAACCCAAUUCACAGUCGUUCUAAUUAAUUUACACAAAUGGAGUCCGUUACACGCUAAUUAAUCACCCCUUUCUGAUAAAUAAUUAUAUAUAAUUCAAUUGCGAUAAAACAUAAAUGAAUUUCUAUUAUGAUGUUUCUCACUUACCUUAAAAGAAUAGAUAGACUUGCAUGCUACAUCAUAUGAUAUAGGAAUAAAUGAAUGGAGAAAAACUAUUUGUGACGAGGUAAAAAACUUAAUCAUAAGUCGAUAGUGGGAUUCUUUUCCCUUUCUCUUAGCCCCAUAUCUUUUAUCUUAAGUAACAUUAAUGAGAAUUAAGAAAAAGGAAAAGAUAGUUGCCAAAAAAGUUGCAUUUGCACAAUCAUUAUGUCAAACGCGUUUUCAUUACAUCAAGCAUGAUUGAAAUAUAAUCACACAAAGUGCUUGAAAUCAAAUACAAAAUCUUUACAUUAAUUAUCAUUUGUCCUAUUUGCUAAAGCUAUACUCCUAUAUAUUAAUUUGCUUUUGGCAUGACAUUUUAAAUUGUUUAAUUAUGUAAUUCAACUUCGAUUCUUGGUUUUCUUUUAUAUAUGCUGUACUUUAAUUUAGUGUAAUGUAAAUUAAGAGUAUGAUAUUAUAUCAAUAAGUAUGAAUUGACGUGUGCUGGUAAAAUGAAAAAAAUCUGAACAGAAUAGAAAGAAAAAUUAAAGGUCGUUCAAAGUUUACUCGCUGCUAAAUUAAAUGUGACAAACCAAUUAUAUUAAAAAUUGAGAAUUGAAUACCUUAUUUUAGGAAAGAAGAACAUGUGAAUACCUAUAUUUCUAGUGGAAUUGGAAGUGAUGAUUUCAUAAUUACUUUUUGGUAUAUAUAAAACUAGAAAAAUAUCAAAGUCGCAUGUUUGUUUAAUACUUAGUAAAUAUAUGACCUUUUCUGCAUAGUUAUAUUUAUGUAUUGAGUACGUGUUUAAGAUUCCUUAAAGAAAUAAUAUAAAAGUUUUUUGUAUAUAUUUCUAAAUUAUGUUUAUAAAAUAUCAUCACAAGAUAAAGUAUAUAAUUGAUUGUUUGUUUGAUUAUCUCAAAAUAUGUGGCGGGCGCGCGCACAUAUUAGUUUAUUCAAAUGGGACAUAGGAAAUUAAUUAACAUGCCAUUUUUGCUAUCAUAUGCAGGUAUUUUCGUUUUGUGUUUUUUUAAAUAAACGUUUACAUUGCAUGAUUGAUAAAUUUCACGAUUGAAUAUUUUUAUAGUUAAGAGUAGGAUUUUUUCAAUUUCACCCUUUCAAUGAGAUAAAAAUUAAAUAAAAUUAGCUUGAAUGAUUAAAAUAAUCAAGAAUCUUGGAAUAUUCCAAAGUUCCUAACCAUCUAAGUGAAUUAGAGAUUAAUCUUAUUAUUUUUAUAUAUCAAUGAUAAUCCCUCUAAGAUGAUUGAGUGAUUGACAUUAUCUGUCAAAAGAAAAAGCAAAAUAUAAUUGAGAUUAUUUUCUCAUAAUUUAGGAACCUUCUGAAGCAAGAAUUAUCUAGGAACCUUAGGAAACAAAGUAUUAGUUUUUUUUUUUUUUUUUUUUUGAGAGAAGGAAACAAAGUAUUAGUUUAAGGAUCUAAAUAUGCAUACUUUAUCUAACCACCCAUCUUUAUUAUUUGUGGUUGACUCAGAAACUAAAAACUUAUAAGGAUAUCCUUGUGUUAAUUUCGUGGUUGGUAUAUGGUUAGAUUAUAGUGCAAAUGUUAUUUUUCGUAAGAAAUGAGAAUACUGUAUAAUAUAAAAUAUAAUAUUGCAUAUAGUAAUGUCUAUAGAUUGGAAAUCACCAGUUUCAAAUCUGAAUCGACGGUUCAUGAUUCACGGUUCACCAGGAAGGUUAAAAUCGUAAUUGGCCGCCUGUGAAGAGGUAGAGAAGGGUCGGUUCCGAGCCUUGAAUUGGCGAUUUCAGGCCUGGCUGAAAACUGUCGGUUCAAGGGCUGAAUCGCUGGUUUCAUAUUUUUUUUUAUUUAUUUAUGUAUUGUGCAUAUUUUUUCUUAUGAAAUUACAAUAUUUAAUAUAUCACAACAUGUAACGAAAUUAUUGACUAAAUUAUAAACGAAAUAAAAUUAUACUCCUUCCGUCCCCCGAACAUCCUCGUAAGGGAUGGUGCACGACCUUUAAUAAAAGUUACUUGAUGAGUGGAGAAUGGAUCCGACAAAAAGUGAAGAUUGUAAGAGUAAUAGUGAAUGCAAUUAUUUCCAAAAGUAUGUUAAGAAGAUGUUUUGGGGAAGACCCAAAAUAGAAAAAGAAGAAGAUGUUUGGGCGACGGAAGGAAUAACACAUUAACACCCAAAAUAUAAUAAAAUUCGCAUUUUUAUUCAAUUCAAAGUAAAAAAAAAAAAANGAGAGAGAGAGAACAUUACAAUUUACAUGUAAAAAUAAAUUACAAUCUUCAAAUUAUAAAAGUGAAUACAUAAAUUAAACUUACUAAACAAUUUUAUUAGUACUACACUAAAAUUUCUAAACUACUAGGGUGUGUUUGCUUUUUAUCCCUCUAAAUGGAGGGAUAACAAAAUUUGUGCCUUUAAAUGUUUGUUUUCUUAUUCCACAUUUUUCACAAAUACUCCCUCCGUCCAUGAAAAAGAGUCUCAUUUGGGACUCGGCACGGGUUUUAAGAAAGUUGUUAAAGUAGGUGUAAGUGGAUAGAGAAGUAAAUUUAUAGGGGUAGUGUUAAUGAAUUUUUUUAAAUUCUUAAUCCUAAAUUAAGUUUUGAACUUCAACACCAUUGCUACACCAUCAUUCAAUCACCAUUUCUCGGCUGAAACUUGAAUUCAUUCAUCAAAAAAAGCUUAGUAACCCUCAGACCUCAAUUGUCAUCACAGGGCGACACAGACCAAGACAAAGCAUCAAAUGCAGUUUCAUGUUCUGAUCCAACAGACAUCACAAAAAUAUGGCAUCACCAGCCCCCCUCACAAAACCACAUUUCAGCCACCACGUAAAAUCGAAAAAUGAACAAAUUCACCACCACAUAAAUAGAUUCACCACCUAAAAAUCGAACAAAAAGAACAGAGGCGGCGAGUCAUAGAGAGGUGGCGACUGUGAAUCAAUUUGUCUAUUUGUCGAUUCAUCUCCGAAAAUCAGAUGAAGACGGCGAUUUGCGGGAGGCGGCGCCUUAGGGUUUAGGGCUCAGAGGGAGGCGGCGAUUUGAGGGAGACGAUACCUUAGGGUUUCGGGCUCAGAUGGAGGCGGCGAUUUGAGAGAGACGGCGCCGAGUUUCGGGCUCAGAGGGAAGAGAGGCGGUCGGCGGUGGCCUUCUUCGCCGGGGAAGAGAGGCUGCGCCGCACUGCCUAAUGUCGCGCCUCUCUCUCUCUAAAAUCCCGCUGGCACCGCCACGUUCUCUGUCGCCACCUACAUAGGCCAUCAAUGGUCACCAACUCAGGCCAUCAGGAGGGGCGGCCUCAGCGGAGAGAGGCGUCACCCUCGCCGGAGAGAGGCGGCGCAAGUGUGGAAGAAAACUAGGGUUCCAAAGAAAUGAAAGAAAGUGAAAUGCGUUUGAUGGAAUCAAAAAAGGGGGAAGGAUUUUUAUUAAGAAAAUUGAUUAUGGUUUAAAAUGAAAUACGUAGAUUGUUUAUGAUUUAUUAUGGUGGGUCCAUAAAUGGCAAAUAGAGUAAAUAUGUAAGUUAAAGAAGGGUAAAAUUGUAUAAAAAGCAAAACAUGACUCUUUUUUGUGGAAAAAAAGAGAGGGGAAACAUGACUCUUUUUCGUGGACGAAGGGAGUACUAUUUUUCCUUCCUUAUUUUCACUUCAAGGAGGGAUAAUAUUAUCCCUCAAUAAUAUUAUCCCUCCUUGAAGUGAAAAUAAGAAAGGAAAAAUGAUGUUUGUGUAAAAUGUGGGAUAAGAAAACAAACAUUUAAAGGCACAAAUUUUUGUUAUCCCUCCAUUUAGAGGGAUAAAAACAAACACACCCCUAUAAUCAGCUAAAGACUAAUAACUAAUUUAAAUUUUAAAAAAGGUAAAAAAAUAAAUAAAAAAUCAAAAAACCGCUAGUGUUGGGAGGUUAACCGACGAUUUUUGACUCGAUGGUUAACCGUCGGCUUUCGGUUCCAGAUUUUCGGGCCCGUAAUCAAACCGUAUUUUUCACAGUUCUGAUUCUGGUUUCGUUAUGUGGUCAACGGUUUCGGGUCAGUUUUGGGUCGAUUCACUCGGUUUCGGUUAGCCCUAGACAUCACUAGUUGCAUGACUAAGUAACAAUAUUAUUCAACUAAUUGAUAAAAUUUUCGCUCACUUCAGAAUUCGAACUCAUGUAAAUUUUCGCCGAUUCCAAAUAAAUAUAUAUCAAUCAUAGGAUUUGAAAAUCUAACAGUACAAUCCAAUCUCAUUUUAUCUUCUCCCACUAUCUAAAUACUCCCUCCGUCCCUGAACAUUGUGACUUUAUUACUAUAUUAGUAUGUCUCUAAAAAUUGUGACUUUAUUACUAUAUUAGUACGUCCUUGAAAAUUGUGACAUUUUCUUAUUUUGAAAUGACCGCACAAACCACUGGUCUCACUAUUUACAAAAAGGUGUGGAACUCAAUCUCUACUCAAAUACAAUUAGUACUCCCUCCAUUUUUUUAUAAGUGUCUCAUUUAGCUCAUUUUUUUGUUUCUCAAUAAGUGUCCCAUUUCAAAAUUUGAGAGUAUAUUUAUGACAAUUUUUCUAUUUUAUCCUUAAUUAAUACUUGUAUGAAUGUAAUAAUUAGUUGUAUAUAUGCAUUUAUUAUGACAAUUCCUAAUGUUACAAAUGUAAAAUAUCUUAUUUUAUUGGUAUGUGUAUUUUGACGGCUAGGGACACUUAAUAAAAAACGGAGAGAGUACAUUUUUUUCUUAAAACUCGUGCCAGUAAUUUUUAUGAACGAAGGGAAGGGAGUAUAUCAAAAACAACUUUAUUAACUAUUAAUAGCACUGGGGUCUAAUCCUAAUUACAAUUUCAAUCUAUUAGCCGCAAACUCGUUUGAUUAUGACAAAUUAAAUUAUGCAGACGAAAAGUUAUCAUUAUCAAUAUGCAUUUUUGCUUUUUUCCUAAGUCAAUUCAGUACAUCAUUUGUUUCCCCCCAUUUACAUUGGGUAAUAAAUAUAGCUGUUGGUAAAACAUGUACCAAAACGACUAAUUUUGUUUCCUUUUAUUAGUCUAGAUAGUGGCAAAUUAAAGCAUUUAAAUGCAUAUUAAGGACUUAUUAUCAUUACUUGCUUUUUUUUCAUAAGAUGAAGUCCUAAACCACUAACUAAAAACCUAAACAAUCAUAGUAUUUAAGGAAAUAUGUUCCAUUUGAGUGAAACAAUUCAUGGUUCAGCAUGGGAGGAAUAAUUUGUUUUUGUUGAAUAAUGUGUGAAACUUGGCUUUAUAUAAUUAUAUCAUUCUUAAUUCUUGCUUUAUGUGUUUAUGUAGUGGUAAUUGAUAAGUAUUGUCUUACAUUAUCCAUAUUGUCGUGUCUCUCCACUUUGUGAUUUUAUUUUCUUUCUAGGUUUAAUGAAAGACCAUGACUUAAGAAAACAAGAUAUAUGAAUGAUCACAGUUAAACAAUAAAAUAAACGAUCACUCGUACUUUAAUUACUAUUAAGAAUUAAAGUUUAUAGGAGAAUAUGAUUUUAGGUUAAAGCUAGUUAUAUUAAUUUAGAGCAUGGCAUCAAUACAAGUGAAGUCCACAUAAAAAUACAAAUUUAAUUACUAGAAAAUUAUUAUGAAACAAUUAAUUAAUGAUACAUUCACCCAAUAUGAUUACGACCUAGCUAGUUUACUAAUCAUGGAGUAUAUUUUACUAUGAUAGAAUCUAUAAAAUCACAAUAUGAACGUAUAAAAACUUGAUGCUUUGUAAAAGAAAAGGAGUAAAUAUUACCGGGAAUUUUAAAAUAUUAUUCAGUGUUCUAGGAAAUAUAUAGUUUCGCUGAGAUUUUCCACAUAAUACAAACCUUAGAUUUUUAGCUCGAGCUAAUGCAUAUAAAAAGAAAAUAGAUCCAUCAUAUAUAUACUCCAUACAUAUAUAGUUGUGCUAAUGUAGAAAAAUACAAGAAGCAUUCAUUUAAAAUAAAUAUUACUUUCUUUUGGAAUAUUCAUGCAUGCCUCACUUUUCAUUUGUAGGGUUGCACAUUUUCAAAUAUAAACAUUAUCCAAAAUCUUUUUGAGUGACAUGCUCAGAUUUGCACAAUAUGUUAUCUGUAAGUCACCGAAAAAUGCAAAAAAGAACAAUUGGGCUCUUCACGUCAUGGACAAUAACACCACCAUUUUUAAAAAGUCUAUGCUAUAUUAAAAAGUCUAUAUUCAAUUUAAUAUAAAAUUUAAAAUUAUAUAUCUUUAUAUAUAUAUAUAGGGGGCCGCUCCAAUGAGACCCCCUAGUUUUAGUAAGAUCUAGGGUACGAUCUGGUGAGUUUAUUUUAUCAAUCAUAUGGCUGAUAUUGUAUUUGGAGGGAGAAUUUUUUUUGCAGGGUUCAAAUCCUGGAGGGAGCAAAAUAUUUUAAAUUUUAUUAUUCAUUAGUAUAUACUGCAUUGUUCAUCAGCAUAUACUGCCUUGUUCAUCAGUAUAUAUGUCUUAUUCAUUAACAAUUUUUUUAAAUUUAUUUUUCACCAGUAUAUACAUCUUGUUCGUUAGGUAUAAGUUUUGUUGAUUUGUUUUAUAUGUGUUAUUCGUUGAGUUUUUAUGCAUGCUAGGGGGUCUACACCCCCAUUCUAUUUUAAUAUGUUUAUUUUCUUUUUUAGGGUUAUUAUAUUAGAUUUUUCUUAUUUUGGUUUUUGAGUAAAUAAGUUGUACUUAAUUGUUUGGACAUACCACUUUACUAUGACUUCUUACUCUAUUUAAUUUUUUUAAUCUCCUGCCACUUGUAGGGAUUGAAGUUAGACGGAUGGCGUUCAUUUUAAUUUUUGUCAUGUUCAUCGGGGUGUACUUAUGUGUUCAUUUUUUUGAAUUUCUCUUGAAUAUAUGUAAAUUUGAAUUGGACUUUCCUCUUUAUUUAUAUAUAUUUGUAUCUAUUUAAUAUAAUUUCCCUUUUUCUUUAAAAAAAUAAUGUCAUAGUGACUAAUGGAACAAUAAAAUCAAAAAUGGUGGAUCCAUUUGUGGCAAUUUGCCAAAAUGAACUAGGAAUAUGUUUUUGAGACGGACGGAAAAGGAAAUAAAAAAAGAUGUUUCAAAAUAGAGGGAGUAUAUAUAUUUAUAUGUGGGCAUAUGGCCUUAUAAUUAGUUGAUUUUAUUAAUUCAGUAAUGAAUUUAUAAUUUUGGUCAAAUGUCAUAUUUAGUCAUAGCAUAAAUUAAUAGAUUAUUCAUAUGGACUAAAGAUUAAUUAUCUUUAUCUNAAUCUCCGUGCCGAAAAGAAGUGAGUCUAUUGAAGUGAGACGGAUGGAGUAUAAUUUUAGAGUUUUGUCAUGUUCAUCGGGGAGCCAAUUAGGCUGCCCAUUGUUUUAUGAAUUUGGCCGCUUGAUAUGAUGAUGUUAUAAUUUGAAAGUCGGACUUUCCGUCUUGACUUAUAUAUAUUGGUCAUCGUGAUUUAAUAUAAUUUCCCUUUUUCUUUAAAAAAAUAAUGUCAUAGUGACUAAUGGAACAAUAAAAUCAAAAAUGGUGGAUCCAUUUGUGGCAAUUUGCCAAAAUGAACUAGGAAUAUGUUUUUGAGACGGACGGAAAAGGAAAUAAAAAAAGAUGUUUCAAAAUAGAGGGAGUAUAUAUAUUUAUAUGUGGGCAUAUGGCCUUAUAAUUAGUUGAUUUUAUUAAUUCAGUAAUGAAUUUAUAAUUUUGGCAAAUGUCAUAUUUAGUCAUAAGCAUAAAUUAAUAGAUUAUUCAUAUGGACUAAAAGAUUAAUUAUCUUUAUCUAUAUAAUAUAUAAAAAUAAUUACAACUUUCCGAAAAUAGUAAUUGUGAUUAUUCAAUCCAUUCGCAAAUUUGUUUGUGAAAAAAAUAAAAUAAUAAAGCUUUUAUUUUGUUGGUGAUCUAUUUUUGUUCUGUAGUAUAAUUAUGAAUGUUGUAUAAAAUUAAACGUUUUAAAAUUUAUAUAUUUAUGUUUCAUAUUUAGAUUUUCUUUUCUGCUUUAGUUAUUAUAUAUAUAUAUAUAUAUAUAUAUAUAUAUAUAUAUAUAUAUAUAUAAUAAAAGAAGACCAGAGAACCAUUUUCAGCCAUUCGAUCAUCAAGAUCUACAGUGGAUGCAUCAUCUUGUUGGAUGAAUGCAGAUCCUGGGUUCGAAUCCUGAAGGGAGCAUUUUUAUUUUUAUUUUUUAGUGCAUUAAUUUUAACAGCGAAAGCAUUAAUUUUUACAGUGGAUGCAUUAGAUUUGAUGGUUCUCUCGUUCUCACAAAUAAUGUAGUUCUCUCUAGAACCACACCCUAUAUAUAUAUAUAUAUAAUUUACAGAAAGCAUUAAUUUUUACAGUGGAUGCAUUAGAUUUGAUGGUUCUCUCGUUCUCACAAAUAAUGUAGUUCUCUCUAGAACCACACCCUAUAUAUAUAUAUAAUUUUCAGAAUAAAUUUUAUAAUCACACUAGUAUAAUUUAAUAUGAAACAAUAUACUCGCAUGACCAUUUUGCAGAAAGAAACACAAUAUUUGACCACUAACUGAAAAAAUACAAAAUCUGACAUUUUUUACGUUUUAUGACUGUUUUACCCUUAAUUAGGGUGGACCAGAUUCGGGUCGGAUUCGAGCUGAGUUUGUGCGCGAGUUAGGCACACAUGACACUAUUAUUGCCAUUAGUGUCAUAUACUCAGUGUUGCACGAAUGGUACUUAUGGUCAUAUUAGUGCCAUUAAUUCCAUAUACUUCCUCGUAAAUAACACUUAUGGUCAUAUUAGUGCCAUUAAUUCUAUAUACAUGUGUGCUGAUAUUAUUUAGAUGAGUACGUACAGUUAUAUGAUCAUUUUGAACACUUUCUCGUAAGGUUUAGAUUAUCCAUUUAGGGUUUAGAUUAUCAUUUAGGGUUUAGAUUCUCCAUUUAGAGUGUUGCACGAAUGGUACUUACGGUCAUAUCAAUGUCAUUAGUGUCAUAUACUCUCUCUUAUGUAGUGUUGCACGAAUAAUACUUAUGGUCAUAUUAGUGUCAUAUGCGCCUAAUCCGUGCGCAAAUCCGAAUCCAACCCGAAUUCAAUUCGCUCUAAUUAAGCGUAAAAUCGUUUUAACACGUAAUAAAUGGUCAGAUUUUGUGUUUUUUCAAUCAGUAAUUAAAUAUUAUGUUUCAUUUUCUAAAUUGACUAUUUUAAAAGCGCUUUCAUUUAAUAAUGCGCAAUUCAAUAAGUGUAUUAAUAGAAAAACAUGACGCUAUCCGUAGACGAACAUGCAUGUCAAAAUUGAUCCAUCUCAUUUGUGUAUUGUAAAAUUACAUUACAUAUAAUUAAUGUAUGCAUACAGUGUGUGUGUGUAUUGAUGUCUAUUGAUUAGGGAUUACUUAUUUUAGAGUUGGUUAUGUACAUUAACAUAAUGAUACGAUUAUACCUAUAUUCUCUUAACAUUGAUUUUCUUUUAUUUUUUUACUUCGAUCCCCAACUCAUCAUGUCUUAUUUUUAAUAAAUUAAAUACAUUGACAAUAUAUAUAUGUGAUUCGGAUGUUCAUCGGUUCAAUCAAGUCAGAUAAUUUUUUAAGUUAAAAAUUUUCAACUCUAAAUAUUUAGGUUUCGAGCUAGUUUAUCAGGCUAGUUCGAGCAAAAUAAAUUAUUAAAAAAUUAAUAUAUUUUUUUGAUAAUACUAUAUUUGUAACAAAUAAAUACACACAUUAAUAAGUAACAUUUCAACACUAACUUACACACUAAUUAAUAUGCAACUCUUAGAGACAUAAAGAUGCACUCAUUUUUAUUAAAUGAUUAUUAUUAGAAAUUUUUACAUCUAAACGUUUUAUGUUAUUGUGUAUUCGCUUAAAAAACACAGAGAAGCGAAAUGAUGAGUAUAUAUAACUCUAUAAUAUUGGAUUUCUAAUAUUGAAUCAAUAUACAUUUCACAAACCUUUUUGAAAAAAAAAUCUUAUUAUAAAAAAUUUUAGAAGUAAAGUAAUGAAAUUGAAAUCAAAUAACGAGAAAAAUAUAUCAAUAUUGAACACAUUAUUUUUGGGUCAGUUUUAUAGGGUUCAGUCUACUUUUAGGCCAACCUUAUCAGGUGUUGGGCUAUUCGAUUACGGGGUAUUCAUGUUGUAGUUUGAUCAGGUUGAAAAUUUUCAGUCAUAAUUCUCUCGAAUUGUCGAUCUAAUCGAAUCAAUCCAUGAAUUUGAGGCUGAAUUGACAUCCCUAUAUGUAAUACACUAAAAGAAAUUAAUAUAUGAAAUUGACAGCAAAGAUUGAUUAAUCAUUUUCAUAAGUAUUAAACACUAUCCAUUAUCCAAAAUGACAUCAAGCAUCGUCCAAGUUGAAGUUGUAGUUUAUACAUAUCAUGCAAUUUAAUUGGUGCUAACAAUUUUUGGUGGCUAAAGAGCUAGCUUCGAGCUUUCAAUGAGCAAAAUUUGAGGGGAAUUUUUUGUAUAAAUUAGAAGAUGAGGGACUCUUACACAUGUAUCCAUAUAAAAAAAUCCAAAAAAUGUAAUAUUUGGAUUAAUUGCAGAAAAAAAUUCUCCAACUACGACUUAAUUAAGGAUGCGAUUUAUAAAUCAUUUUAAAUAUAAUCUUAUUUUUUUUAAUUUAUAACAAAAUAUCACGGCCAAGAUUCUUCAGCCGUUUGAAAAAAAUUAGAGAACAUGAAAAUGAAAAUAUUUAAAACAUUAUAAAAAGCUAUUAAUAUAUUUUAAAAAAAGGAUAGAAAUGAUAGUAUUGAGUAUGGACCCACUCGCGAACGCGUGGUGGAGCAGUUUCUCUUGACACAUUGUUUUGGAAUUGGUCAGAAAUCCAAAAUCUUUUCACUUUGUUGUGCAAAAGGUUUCCAUAAGGACCCUACCAUUAACCUCCCUUAUUUUUUCAAUAAUAAAAUAUUCCGUUUUUAAUUAUUAAAAAGAUUUUGAAUGAAUAAGUAUUUUGGAUUUUUCUUAAACACAAAUUAUUCUUGAAAAUGACUUUGUAGCUUCCAUCCAUGACAAAUAACUUGGGAAAAAUAUAAAGAUCAAACACGGAUCAAUUGCUUUUCAAGUUCAAAUUCUUCCGAAAAAAAUUCUCUAACAAACGAUGCAAAUUAAAUCUCAACCCCAUAUAAUUAAGAGUAAUGCUAAACAGACAUAUUGUGGCUACCCACAAUUUACCUAAGUAGAGAAUAAUUUAAUUAAUUUAACUUAUUUUUUUAAAUAAAAAUAAGAUUUAGUUAUUUUAUCAUAUUCUCUACAUUAUAGUUAUUUUUUUACAAUUUUUUGGUAAUUUUUUUAUUUUUUAAAAAAUAAAUUAAAAAAAAUGCAAAAAAAAAUUAAAAAAUAAGUACAAUGUAGAGAAUAUAAUAAAAUAACUAAAUCCUAUUUUUAUUUAAAAAAUAAAUUAAAUAAAUCAAGAUUAUCCUUAUUAUAUUAGUGUGUGGGUGGCCACAGUGUGACUGCAUAGAUUUAUUGUAUAAUUAAUUAAGUGCUACUUGAAAUAUUAAUUCUUCAAUUAAUGUUUAUUUAAUUUACUUUUGAUCUUAUAAUUCCCACUUUUUUCCAUUUUGUUUGUAUCCUAUGAUAGUCAAAAAAGGGGGGAAAAACAUGAGCAUAUACUCACAGGAAAAAGACCUAAAAAUCAGAUGUUUGUAAUCAUUACAUGCAUGUUUAACAAUCCCUUUUUUCAGCUUUAAUAUUCCUUCAUUUUGUUGGAGUUCAGUUAUCUUUGUUUUCUGAAGAAUUCAAUUUUAAGGGUGUGAACUUAGGAAGAAAUGUGAUCUUUUGUUGAAAAUCAAAAAUCUAAAUCAAGAUAUAUAAGUGAAAAUUCAACAAUUUUUGUAAACUUUCACCUUUUUCAGAUAGAUUUCAUACCUCUUAUUUUCCAAAAAAAUAACAAGAAUUGUCGAUUCCCUUCGAAAAUGGCGUGAUAUUAGCAAUAAUCGACUCGUAGAUAUGCAGGGUCCUUCUAUGUAUAUAGAUAUUGCAUCUUGUGUCAUAAAAUAAUCUUAUCUCUGAUUAUGCUUUAUUUUAUUAAUUCAUAGAGAUAUCAUAAAGGACAAUAUUAUUUUUCAUAUUAUAAAAAAAACGAGUGAUUGUAGUCUCUUCCCCAGUUCACAAAUUAAAAAACAAAAUAAGAAAUAAACAUGAAAGAAGUAUUAAUGAGACUACAUAGAGUAUUGAUUUUUAAUUUUUUUUAACUUUAUUUUUCUAUGCAUUAAUUAAUUCCCACUUAUUUUUCUAUGCAUUAAUUAAAUACUGAUUCUUUUCAUAUAUAAUAUAAGUGUAACCAUUAGAUGAAUAUGUUAGGAUUCGGUAUGAUUCGUCGUGUUACAAUUUUGUGUUAUAUUGUCAUACAUGAUGUCAUUUAAUACAGCUGAUCACGUCCAUUGAUGAAAGUGAAAUAUGAAAAAGUAAUAUAUGAAUCUAUAUUAAAUACACCAAAAUAAAUGGAUAUUUUUCAGUUUUAUUCUAUAUAGCUCAAAAUUAUAUGAGUCUCUCCAUAGCAAUAUAUUUUAUAAAUUAAUUAUUUGUCAAAUUGAUCUUAUUAUUGAAUAGCGAUAUUAGACGUGUGAUAGGUUUAUGCAAUUCGACAUGUAUACGUUUUAUAAGAAAGUAGCUUUGUUUCUUUUCGUAUCAAAUUAUGUCAUUAUAUAUAACAAGAUAAAUAAAUGAGAGCGUCGGAAAAUAAAAAAUUAAACUUUAAAGAACUUCUCUCAUCAAGAAAGAACCAUGUAGAUUCAUGCAAGUAGAUAGAGUCUUGUUUCAAUAUAUAAUCCAAACGAAGCCAGAAUAACCACCUAUCAAUUGGCUGGAAAAUAAUACCGAUGAAGCAACAUUGAUUUAUGUAUUACCAUAUAAAUAAUGAAUGUUAAUUACUUAUUUCAUUUGGAGAAUUUUAUAUUUAUAUUUAAUAAGUAAUGCUAAUGUGAUUGUCCAACGAAAUAUCACGUUGUCCAUAAAUGAAUGUAAGUGAUCAAACAUCCCAAAUGAAAAUAACCAAAUCAACAACACAUUAUUUUAAAAACAAAAGAUAGAAUAUUUAACCCAUUCUACCUCUUUGACCGGUCAAAUAAAUUCUUGGCGGUUUUUCGUCCAAAUGAUAAUACUGAUAUAUGCCUUUUCCAUUUUUAGAUGUUCCAUAAAAGUUAUGCAUUAACUCAUUUAAUUACUAACAUUUCCUAUUUAAUUCUUUGAUAAAUUUUAACAUCAAUAAUUUGUUAAAAGAUAAAUAUGGACGUACCAGAAAGUUAUUUAUAUAUUUUUCUUUUGCAAUAAUUUUCUUAAAUCCUAUGCAAAACUCAAUCAAUCUAUAUAAUUGAGACGAAGUAAGUACAUACACACCAAAUCUAGGUUAAAUUCACAUCAAGUAAAAACAAGUAUUACUCCUUUCUUUAUCUACUAGGAAAUUUAUCUAGCUAGUAUUACUAAUAUCACGUGAGUCCUUUCUUUCUCUUUACUAGGAGAAAAAUCGGCGCUGGCUACCCGUGAGCCAUUCUUUUGAUUAGGAAGACCCAAAGCCAACUCAUAAGUUACUCUUACUCGAAAUACUAUUAGGGUGUGUUUGCUUUUUAUCCCUCUAAAUGGAGGGAUAACAAAAAUUUAUGCAUUUAAAUGUUUGUUUUCUUAUUCCACAUUUUACACAAACACCAUUUUUCUUUUCUUGUUUUCACUUCAAGGAGGAAUAAUAUUAUCACACCAAAUGUGGGAUAAAAAGCAAACACUCGGCUAUCUAGCCAAUAUCAAGUGUUGUAUGAUCGACUAACUUGUGAUUUGUACAUGGCUAUUUAAGCUAGUAGUUUUUUAAUUCAAAAUUGAAAUUUACAUGCUCCUUUUUUACUUUAAAGUAUAUAAAACCUUAUUAAAAUUAAUGUUUUAUGAUCCAGACUUUGGAUUUUACAUAAUAUGUAACAAAACAAUUAAUACUCAUAAAAAAAAUAUUUUGCACCGACGAUGAAAAGUGCAACUCAAUUUAUAAAAUAUUUCUCCUUUUAUUAGGUCGAAAGUGUGAGAGAACAAUUAGACAAAAAAAAAUAUUUUGUAUGUAAUUAUGGAUUUAAACUUUUAGAAUGACUUUCAUAUUAAUUAAAAACGCAUAUUAAAAUAUGUGUGUGUUGAUUUAAUAGUAAAUUUCUUAAUGUCUAAAAUAAAAAAUCUCAAUUUUAAAUAUAUCAUGAUGCAAUAUUUAAAUUUACCUGUCAAUUUAUCAUAAACAAAAUGCCUCUUAAAAAUUCUAAAGUCGACAGUGAAAAUAUAUAUGUCAACAAUCUACUCCAUAAUGACUUUUCUUUUUCUCGCUAGACGACAAACUAUUGCUGUGGCUACAAUUGUGCAUCAGAAAAUAUAAGAAUAUUUGAAAUUCAUUUUCGACAGGUUUCGAAACCGGAUGUCAAAAUUCUAGAAUUUUAAAUCUCAAAUAAAUGAUAUUUUUUACCAAUUCAAAUAAUUUGACUCUUGACUCAAACGAGUAACUACCAAUCUCAGGUGCCUCAAAAUCAAACUUUACAGAGUUCUAUAUACGGUCAAAAAAUAGGAAGACAACAUAAAGUAUUAGUUUUAUUUAGAUGUCAUUUUCACAUAUUUGUAUUUUAUCUAUGUUCAUACCCCAAGAAAGAGUCCCUGCUAAGAUUUUAAAUUUACAAUGUAAUUAAAGGCUAAAUUAUCUCAAACCAUAAACUUAUCCCAAAAAAAAUAUCAAAAUAUUACUCAAAUUUUCAAUUUUUUAACAUAAUCUGAACAAUAUAGAGUUUUCCUAUCAAAAUCAUUAAGUUCUAGUGAUCGUGCAAAUACUAUUAUCGUGACAUUUACACUAAUUGUCUAUCAUCAAGCAUCCACGUAGAUACUAUGUUAGCUAGGGGCGGAUUCAUAAUUUCUCGAUAAGGGGGGCUAAACUUGAAGGCAUUGCAUGGAGCUAGGUUCCCCCGAGCCAAUUUUUUUUGAAAAAUUCAUACAAUUUUUUUUCUGUCUAAGUCGCAUAAUAUAAUAAAUAGUUGUAUUUUUUCUAUUGAUCCAAUAAUAGGUAUAUUGAAAGUAGAUAAAGAGCUAUAUCUAAGCAUUUUUUUAGAAAAUAAUCUAUAUUCUAUAAAAAUAAAUUAGUUUUCAUUAUUAUGUUAAAGAUUUUUUUAUUUUUUUAGAGGUUGGACUGGGCUAUGCAGAUAUUAAGCUAAAUAUAUUUUAUAUAUAUAGGAUAAGCCCAGUGCAGCCAUUGAAUAGAUCCGCCCCUAAUGUUAGCAGUCUUUGCGCAAUCAAUAGAAAUUAAUGGCCCGGUUUUGUCAGUGAAAAUAGUUAGAGGCUAGAUCAAGAUAAAAUAUAAAAGUAUGAGUAUUAUUGAAUAUGAUAUAUUUUUGAAGUAAGUCGUUAGUUUGAAUUAUUUUAGAUAAUUUAGCAUAUAAUUAAAGUAGAUGUGAAAAUUCAACUACAGUAAUUCCAAACAUUAUUAGUGGAUCAUCUAAUUUUCUAUUUAUAAUCAAUGUUAUAUUCUAUUUCAGCAGUCUACACUAUAAAAUAUAGUACUAAUAUCUUUCAUGUAUAAACAAAUAAAAUAAAAAUAUGAGAUUAAUUAAAACAUAAUAAUGGAAUAGAUAGAAUUCCGCACGAGUUGCGGGAGCCAUGCAUCUUCACGAACUCAAUAGUGAAAGAAAAAGUUGAGAAUCUAUAACGGAUAAUGGAAGACAGUUGGGGUUUAGGUUAACUAUUUUGGGAUCUUGGGUAAAAUACGGACAAAUCUUCUCUGUUCACAAAAAAUAAUGUACUUCCAAAACAAAAAUAAAAGACAAUUAAUACCACUAUACAGUUGUAAAAUAUAGAUUGUAAUAUUUUUCUUUUUCUUUUUCUCUUAUACAAUAUUUAUUGUAUCCGGACUUACACAUUUAUAAAUUUCAUAAGAGGUCAAAGCUAAUUUGUUCUAUUCGAUAUUCCCUUUUGACUUCAAAACGAUGAACAAAAAUAAUAAAUGAGAAUUUUGUUUUUGUUAAUAUAUAAAUUUGACGAUCCCAUUUAAUUAUAAAAAAUUAAAAAAAAUUAUAAAGUGAACUAAACAUUAACCGUGUUCAUAAUAGAUGAUCACUAAUAGUGUAUGAUAUAUAAAUUCUCUUGUAUAUAUACAUACAUUAUGUGUGUGUGUGACAAAAUGAGAACAUUUCUUGGCACAUUCUUUCAUCAAAAAAUCGUUUACAUGGGAUUACUUUUAACUUCUAGAUCUCAAGUUUGGCCCACAUUAAUCUCAUAUUUUCAUAAUCUCAUUUACAUAUCUCCCCUGUUUUACAUAGAAAUAGACGAGCCAAUCCAACUCAAUUCGGAUCAACCUUUUUCUUUAAUUCCGACAAGCACUAUUUAAUUUGAGAAAAUACCCAAAAAAUACUAUCCUACAUAUAUAAAGACUACACAUUUCCCCAUAAUAUGUUGAUACACAUUCAUAUAUAUACAUCAAAUAUUUGAAACACCGGCAAAUAAAAUAACAACUAUUUGUGCAAAUAUUGCAAAUCCCAAAAGAACCAAUAGGAGAUUCGAUAGGAAAAAGGAAUUUCACUAGAAUCAUAAAGAAGGGGGACAUAAACCCCCCAACCUUAAUCACUGGAUUCACACUCCAAACCCCUGCCCCAUUUCAGAUUCCUUUUUAUUGAUUUUUACUCCUCAAUCCUCAUCCUAAAUAAAUGUUCAAGUGGAUCAACUUACUAUUUUACUAAUUAAAUAAAAAACUAAAAACAACGAAAUAAUUUACAUUAAAGACAAGGCUAAAACGAGAAGCUCAAGUAUACUUCAUUCGUCCCACUCCAAUAGACUCACUUCUUUUGGGCACAGAGAUUAAGAAAACUUACUUUUGAAUAGGAAAGUGGUAAUAAAAUGGUGUGGUCCACACCAAUUAAGUACAACUUUUAUACUCAAAAACGAAAAUGAGCCUAUUGGAAUAAGACGAAUGGAGUAUUAUUUAUGAAAGGGAGAAAAUCUGACAAUAUCUUUCACAGUAAACGGUCCUCGUGUACUAAGAAUCUAGUAGUAUAAAGCUAAGCACUAGGCACCUGACUUUUCAUGCUUUUGGCCUUUUCUGUUUCUCUCCAACCAUAUGUCCCAUGACCACACAAAAGUAGCAAAAGAUAUAUAUUUAUAAAAGAAAUUUGAAAAAAUAAAAAAGAAAGAGAAGAAGCAACUACUCGAAAACCUUAUAAGAAAGUGGAAAACAACCUCAUUAACAUUUCCCUUUGUGGUGCUCUUUUCUUUUUGCUACUCCAACAAACAUACCUAACCAAAAUGGAAGAACAAUGCAGUCCUCUUAGCUGGGCUUACUACUUUCAAGAAGAGGUAUGAGGUUAUAUCCCACUUCGAGUAAUUUGAAACUGCUUUCUGCUUUUCGAGUCGAGUUCUGAAUAGCUCAUUUUUGUUUUGUAGGGGGUCGAGGAUUUGAAGCAGUCGCUCUUCUACUCGACUCUGGAGCUUGAGGCCGCGGUCAUCGCGUCCCACGAGGAGAUUUCGAGGAAAGACGACGAGAUUGCCCAACUGAAGGGCUUGCUAGCCAAGAUCAUCAAAGAGAGGGACGAAUUCGAGACGAAAUACCAACGACUUUCCUUGGAAAAACAGUUGGUUUUCCAACGAACCCAAAUCCAGGCACACUCCUCGAAGCAACAACCACUAGACUGUCCAAUCUCGAGCGGCACGACUAGUAAUGAGGAUGAAAACAAUGCACUUUCCCCGUCAGACUGCGACGACAGCAUAGUCGUCGCGUCUCAUGGCAGCAAGGACAGUCUGCCGCUUAUAAUUCCGUCGCAGCCUGCAGCAGAGGAUGUGACCGACAGAGUGCCGAUCAAGAAGGCGCUGCCGGAGCAGGGCAAGUUCCUGCAGGCCGUCAUGGAAGCCGGGCCGCUCCUCCAGACGCUCCUCCUGGCCGGGCCGCUCCCCCAGUGGCAGCACCCGCCGCCGCAGCUCAGCUCCGGCGACAUUCCGCCGGUGACGAUGUCGUCGCCGAGGUCGAAACUCGUGCAUGCGCACCAAGAUUCUUGCCUCAUCAGCCCUACUACGAGUGGCGGAGGAUUCACUAACAAGAGGGGUAUGUUGAACAGGGAAGCCUCUGAUUUCUCUCCCACCUCAAAAUAUCAAAAAAUUUGUUCGCCAAUUAUUGUUGAUCCACCCCAACAUUAUUAAUUAACCACAAAAUUCGCACCAAUUUCUUAGAGUUGUGUUAGGAGUCGAAGAGUCUCCAAUUUUAAUUAUGGGAUUUUCGAAAUUCAUCAUCAUCGCCGUGGGAUGUGAUGGUGAUGGUGAUGGUGGUGGAGAUAGCUACCAAUUAAAGUUUGUACAUUUUACUGGUUUGUUUUAGGUUCUUGAACUAAUUGUAGAGAGAGAGGGAGAGUGGGAGUUGAACUUUUGAGGUUUUGAUUUGGGAUAGAGACUUUGAUGAGUUAAUAUUCCUACUAUAGUUAGUCGUCUAAUUUGGCCCCAUGAUAUGGAUUAUGAAAAUGGGAUGCUGCAAAAUUCUCCAAAUUGGUGGAGAAUAUUGUAAGGAUUUAGGGAAUGAUAUAUAGAUCAGUGUAUCUUUUCUAGAUUAAUUAUGAUGUUGUAGACCAGCAGUCAUCAUAUGGAAGAUGGCUUUGUUUUAGUCUAAUUAAUUAAAGUCGUUGCUUUUACUAUAUUAUUUCAUUUUCUCUUGCUUUAUUAAUGUCACAAUUAUUUAAAAAUUCUUCAAUUCCUACGUGAGCACAUAUAUAGUUUACAAAUUAUAUGAAAUUAAAACCUUAUUUAUUAGUUUUAGUCGUCCUUACUAUAAAAUUAAAGGGGAAAAGGAAUGAAUUAAACUUUGAACUUUUUUUUAUAUGUAUUUUGUAAGAUUUAAUUUCAGAAAUAUAAUAAUAAAAUAUUAAUGAAGAAUAAAAAAGCAUUAAUGUUUAGUUUUGUUCACACAAUGCUUAUAAAAGAUGUGCGACAUUAUAUGAAUCAAAAUAGUAUAUUUUUAUACAUAUGUAUAUUUCUUUAUAUGUCACCUUAGCAAGCAAUCAAAGAUACCAACUAACUAAUCAUACUUUUCAAGAAUCGGUACCUACCAUGCAUGGCCUGUGUCUGCCAUAUAAAUAACAUCUCAUUAGACCCUUUAUCUUUAUCAAGCAAAUAUAUUAUAUAUCUGCAAGCAAAUAAAGUCAAUUCAUCAGAGGAUCACAAUCAUAAUUUUUCUUUUUUACUUUUCUUUUUUAAUUUAAUUAAUUGAAAAUUGUAAAUAAAUUCUUUUGACGUAUCAAAAUGCAGUGAGCUAUAUAAUGUCUGCAAGGCAUUAUAGCGAAGGAGGAAAAUAUAGUUCCCUUUACUUUAUAUUAGAACAGUGCACCGUGCCAUAAUAGAUAUAGUUAAGAUUAAAAACGUAUAUAUAAUUAAAUAAAAAUAGACAAAUUAAUUAUAUUAAAUGAGAUUAUAUAUUGAUUUAGUGUUUCUAGCGCUAUUAUUUGAUAAUAAUUACAUAAUGUCCUAUUUCAAAAUAAAAUAAAAUAAUAUUAUACACUCAAACAAAGGAAAAACACUCACACUCUAAGUGACUGCACUUCAUAGUCACAUAAUGUCCUAUUAAAAUUAAAGAAAAAAGGAAAAUUAAAAUAUUUAAAAUAAUGUUUCUAGCUAGUUUCAAGAAAAAUAUCUAUUAUUUAAUAAUAUAAAUUAUUUAAUAUGUUAAAACUUUAAAUUAUCAUUACUUAUUAAUUAUUUUUAAAUCUAUCUUUUACAUAUCAUAUAGUAAUAUUAAGUUAUAGAACCUUUUAUGAUCUUUUAUUCAAUAUAUAUAUUUUAUUCAAAAUAUAAUUAAACGAAAAGAUUUGCACAAUCUAGAAAAAUAAAUAAAGAUAUUUGAAAUUUAAAGAUUAGUGGCGAUUAAUUAAGUGCUAAUGAACGGCUAAUUUGACUUCAAGCGUUGAUUUUAAUUUUUGCAUAGAUUGCGACAUUGAUUUCUCCUUAAUAUAUAAAAUUACAAUUAAAAUUGUUUUAAAAUCAAUUUUAAAUUAAUUUCAAAUUAAAGAUUAUAUUUUUAAUAUAGGUAUAGAUAUUGUAAUUUAAUUAAUUGGAUGGUUAAAGAUGGGUGGUCAUUUCAGUCAAUUUCACAACUUUAUAUAAACAUUGAUUCUCUCCAUUAAAUUUUGGGAGGCUGACGAUUAACGACAUACGUCUCUUUCAAUUUAAUGAUAUUAGAUGGAUUUGCACUCGAUUAAUCCAAAUAAUUAAAUACAAGUUGUUUUCUUAUAAAAAGCAAGUACGUUCAAUUAUUUUUGAGUUACAUAUAUCUAUUUUUAUGGUCAAGAGCAGCUACACCCAAGAGCCCCUUAAAGUGCUAAGAGUCACUUCGGAGCUCUCAAAGUAGGCUCCAUAAAAUUUAUUUUUAUUUUCUUUAAUUUAAAUGUAUUUUUAGGUUAAAUAAAUAUUUAAUUUAGAAAUAAAAAAUUGUUUAAAUUAAAAUUUAAGAUUACAAUAAUUAAAAACAAUAGAAAUUAAAAAAAAAUUAAAACUAUUUUGAAGCUACAUUAAAUUGAUUUUGUACUGAAUCUCAUCGAAGAGUAUAUGUUUCUCUACAAUGUGUAGUGCACUAUUAAAGGAAAAGCUACAUUUACUUAAAAUUAAAAUUAAAAUCUUAAAAUUUAAACGAUUUUUAUGACAAAAAUCAAUUAAAUUUAUAAUAUUGAAUUUAAAAUAAUCUUUAUUAUUAAGGCGGUGCUAGCUAAUCGAGCUCAUAAUUUCGUCAUGUUCGUCGAGAGACUAAUCGAACCGCUCAUUAUUUAGUAAAAUUCACAGCUUAGUUUGAUGAUGUAAUAAUUUAGAAAUCGGAUUUUUCAAUCUGACUCACAGAUAUUGUUCUGUGUAAUUUAAUAUAAAUUUUCCGUUUUUCCCUGGAAAAAAAAGGGAUUCAAUGAGAUCAAUAAAAGGAACAUUUUGACGUAUAAAUUGACGGCUAGUUCUUGUUGAUGACGAUUAAUUACGAUAGAGUAGCAUUAGAUUUGCAGCUCUCUCGUGCUAACAAGUAACAACAAUAUCGACUUUGAAUUGUGAUUUUAAUCACAUCGGUGGUCUAACGACAACGAGAGAGACCCAGUCAUGAAAAUACUACUCCCGUGUAUUUAUUCAUCAAUUUUUUAUUUUUAUUUUUAUAAUUGUAAGAGGUAUCUAAUAUAUAAUAAACAAUUCGCACGCAUGCGGAAUUUAUAAACUACGACUAUAUAAAGGUGGAAAAAUAACCACGCGCAGACGAAACCCUACCCACACAAAAAUGAAAAUACUACUCACACAGUCUCACAAAAAUAUAUAUCUCUCACAAAUAAGAGUCUUUGGGUGCUUUAGGGCUGUAAACAAAUCAAGCCGCUCACUAAUUAUUCAGAACUCGGCUCGAAAAAAGCUCGUUCAAGUUCGUUUAGAGAAGCUCGUAAAAUAAACAAACCAAACUUGAGCUUAGUAGUAUUCGGCUCGUUAGCUCAUGAACAUGUUCGUCAAGUGAUUCAACUUGAAAAAUAUAAAUUAUUAGUAGACGCAACUUAUAUUUAUCCACUAAAAUUAAUAAUAAUUGUAUUAAAUCUCUAAUUAAUUUUGUUUGUUAUAAGAAAAUAAUUAAUACUCCCUCCGUCCCAUGAAGCGUGACCCAUUUCUUUUCGGCACGAGAAUUAAGAAAUUGGUAUUUUGUGUGUUAAGUGUGGUAGGUGAAAAAGUGAAAAGGUAAAUAAAUGGUAAAAUUUUUGCCAUUUUUAGAAACAGAUCAAUGUAACUCAAAGUGUACAAUAAGUAGUACUAUUUAUUAUUUUGAAUAAAAUAAUUUAUUUUUAAAAUAAAAUAAUCAAUAUUUUGAAUAUAAAUAUAAAUUUAGAAAGUUCGUAUAGACUCGAUUAGGCUCGUGAGCCUCAAAGUAUUUGAUAAGUAAAGUUCGGAAUUCGAUUCAAUACUAAACAAAUCAAACUUAAGCACACCACUAUUCGGUUCGGCUCGAUUCGAUUAUACCUCUGUGUGCCUACGCCUCAUCGACAUUUAUUCAUCAAUUUCGGUUAGUUUAUUUUCCUAACUGUUGAACCCACUUUACAAUAAUGUUAGAAUUUGACUUGGGGGUGCUUGAAGUUCAAGUUUCAUCAAUAAUUUUCAGUCUUAAACUAAACUGAUCUUAUUUUACAUUUUUUUUGUUCAAUAAUUACACCAAUAUAAAAUCUUUAUUAUUGAGAUAUAUUUGUGUUACACUAAUCUUCAAUGCUUCUUCAACAGAUAGAUGAGACUAUAAAUUUGGUACGGACAAACAAAUUAAUGAAGAAUUACGUAUUUUAUUGGGGAGGAUGGCGUAAACUUGUCCUUUUCAAUUUAUGAGCAAUCUUUUUCAAUUAACUUAACCUUCUAAAAAAAAAGUUUUCUCCAUUUUCUACAUCCAAUUCUUAAUCUUCAUAUCAACUAAAAAAACAUAAUCUUUAUAUAAAUAAAUAUAUAUGCAUAAGGAGUAAGAAAAUAUCAAUGCAUUAUGGAAAAAAGAAAAAUAAACAAUUUAUCUUUAAUUAUUGAAUAAAGAGUAAUCAGUUUCUUAACAUUAAAUGAAAAAUAUCAUAUUUUCUAUAUAUGAACUUAAUAUUGACUUGGACUUGUGUAUACAACUCAGAUGAAGAAAUAUCGCUAUAAAUUGCUGCUUAUGUUUGGUACAUUAAAGAUAAAUAAAUUGCUAAAAUGAUUUUGUUAUCGAGAAGGGCCAACAUGAUUUUUUUUUUUUUUUUGGGAGGAAAAAGGUGAAAACUAUUAUUAAAAUGAUCAACCAGAGUUCACACCAACAGGCAGAGCCCAAGCAAUAGAAAAGGGCGAAGAAUUACAUAAAGCAAACUUUGCUACUUAUGUUUGGUACAUUAAAGAUAAAUAAAUUGCUAAAAUGAUUUUGUUAUCGAGAAGGGCCAACAUGAGUUUUUUUUUGGAGGGAAAAGGUGAAAACUGUUGGAACGCUGCCAAGAGCUCAGCUUGAAACUGAAACCAAAGAAAGUAAAAGAAGAAAUCUGCAGAACAGAAGCACGCAUACAAGGUGUUUGUUAAAAAGUCAGAACCAGAAUAACAGAGAGAAAAAAGAAAGAAAGAAAGUGGGCUGCGCCGUGGACGAUCCACUGCCCUGAAAACGAUUUAGGCCGACUCAAUUGUGCUAGUCCAGCAGGCCAAUCGUUCCCCAAGGUUAACGCAACUAUCAAGCAAAGUAUGCACACUCUACUUUACUUAAUUUGGAGAUAUUCAAACUAGUGCUCAAGACUCAGAAGAAGAAAGAAGGCAAUGGUUCAUCUGCUACCUCCCCCAAACAUCUGGAACCAAAUAAAUAAUCAAGAGGCUUACCCGUCUAGCAGAAAAAGCGGAGCACCAAAUAACAGAAAGAGACGUUGGCAUCCCACGAACUAUGACUGUUUCCAAGUUCUGUUUAGCUAGGGCUCAAGUCAAAUAAAAACAUGGGACUAGGAAAAGUAGCCCAAAUAAAGACAAUAAAAAAGAAGCCCAUAACAAUUAAAGAGAAGAGCCCAAAAGACUCUAACUAUUUCCAACAAUCCCCCACAAAUAGUUAGAAACCUAAAGUAUUGAGCACUAGAAGGUUCAUCACUUAAGUAUCAAUAAUCUUUCGAUUUUGAAUUGAUACAUAGUGACGUGAGUUGUCAUAGUAAUUCACAAAGUGAAAUGAAAUCUUGAACUGAGUGAAUUCCAAUGACAAGAUCUCACGACACAUGAUUUCCCAACAAAUUUAAAUAUCUCCUCGAAAAAUAUACAACAUGGCCACACAAUACACCUUGGGAUCUCAUGAGUGCUCUAGAAAUCAUACAUGGUUUCAUAGGAGACGGCCAAAACUCCACACUCAUUUAGGUGAUUCAUCACAAGUGCUUCUCAAUAGCACAACACAAAUAAUAUACCGAAUCAUUAAGAGCCAAUUGCUCAACCUCAAUCAACAUACAACUUCCAUCAAGUCCGUCUCAUACUAGGACCACCAAACUGGCUAUGGAAAGUUUUAUUCAACACAUUAAACCAUCAAGUACAACAAGUAAUUUAGUGUACCACCCUAAAGGGCUAUGGUUUAAGCGAUCAUCAAUGCAAAAGAUAAAUAUACCAAUGAACAUGAAAGUAGUACAGUUUAGUUUGACCUGCAGUAGGUGUCCACCAUAUUCCUUUCACAUCAAAGGUCUCACUCCCAUUUCUUUUGAAGUUUCCAGCACCAGACUUCGUGAAAGUCCUUUUGUAAAUGGGUCUGCUAUGUUUUUCUCUGACCUCACGAAGUCCAAUGAUAUAACUCCAUUCUUCAACAGUUGUUUCACAACUCCAUGUCUGACUCGUAUAUGCCUUUUCUUCCCAUUAUAGACGUUAUUUUUAGCAACUGCAAUCGCCGCUUGGGAGUCGCAAUGUAGGGAUACAGGAGCUGAAGACUCUCCCCACAUAGGAAGUUCUGCAAAAAGAUUUCUCAACCAAUCCGCUUCUUGACCUGCCAACUCAAGAGCAAUAAAUUCUGAUUCCAUAGUGGAGUUAGCUACACACGAUUGUUUAGCAGAUUUCCAAGAAAUAGCUCCACCUCCCAAAGUAAAAACAUAACCACUCGUAGAGCACACUUCAUCAUUAUCAGACACCCAGUUAGCAUCACAAAAGCCCUCUAAAACUGCAGGAAAUUUACUAUAAUGCAAACUCCAAUCAAUGGUGCCUCUUAGAUAUUUCAUUAAACGAUAAAGUGCAAUCCAAUGAUUAUUACUCGGAUUAUGUGUAUAACGACUUAAACGACUCACGGCAUAAGCAAUGUCAGGUCGAGUGUAAUUCAUCAAAUACAUAACACUUCCUAUGAUUUUAGCAUAUUCUUCUUGUGAAACACUUUCACCUUUAUUUUUUGUCAAAUGCAAACUAGAAUCAUAAGGUGUUCUUACCGGAGCCAAAUCAUAGCACCCAAAGCGUCUUAAGAUUUUUUCCACAUAAUGAGAUUGACUUAAUGAAAUACCGUUUUCAUUUUUUCUCAAUUUAACACCAAGAAUGACAUCAGCUUCACCAAGAUCUUUCAUUUCAAAUUUAGAAGACAAAAAACGUUUUGUUUCGGAUAUCACAUCAAGAUUCGUGCCAAAGAUAAGCAUGUCAUCAACAUACAGGCAAAUAAUCACAUAAUCAGAACCAUACAUCUUGGUGUAGACGCACGAAUCAGAGUUAUUCACAACAAAUCCAUCAGAAAUUAUAGUACUGUGAAAUUUUUCAUACCAUUGCACAGGAGCCUGUUUAAGGCCAUAUAAAGAUUUUUUCAAUUUGCAUACUUUGUUCUCAUGUCCAGGAACCACAUACCCUUCUGGCAAUUCAAUAUAUAUUUCCUCUUCUAAAUCUCCAUUUAAAAAUGCUGUUUUUACAUCCAUUUGAUGUAUAAUCAAGUUAUGAAUUGCUGCUAAAGCCACUAAAGCUCUAAUGGUAGAGAUUUUUGCAACAGGAGAAUAUGUGUCAAAGAAAUCAAUACCUUUCUUUUGGAAAAACCCAACAACUACUAGUCUUGCCUUAAACUUGUCAAUUGUACCAUCCGGUUUUAGUUUUCUUCUAAAAAUCCAUUUAGUCUUAAGAGUUUUACAGUUAACAGGUAACUCGACCAAUUCCCAUGUGUCAUUACUCAAAAGAGAUUCUAAUUCACUUAGAAUUGCUUCUUUCCAAAAGACUGCAUCAACACAAGUUAUAGCCUCACUAUAAGUCUUGGGAUCCUCAGUAACAAAGUAUAGAGAAACAGCAUGCUCAUCAAUUAAAUCUGGGUUCUCAAUUAGAUAAGCAGUGAUAAACUCAGGCCCAUUAGGAAGUUUUAGUUCUCUCCCGUUUGCUCCUUCUAGGUUCAACAGUAACACCAAUUUUUUCAGGCUCAUUAUUAGAAGAACUAGACACCUUGCAUGCACAUUAACAGAAGAGUCGGAAGCACUUUGAACAUUACUCUUUAAGGGAAAAAUAUGUUCAAAAAAUUCAGCAUCACGACAUUCAGAAAUAACUUUAUCAUCAAUAGAUAAAAAUCUAUAUGCAGCUGAAUUUGAAGCAUAACCAAUAAAUAUAGCAUCAAAGGUUUUAGAUCCAAUGGCCGUCCUUUUUGAAUCAGGAAGGCAACUUUAGCUAGGCACCCCACAUUUUUAAAUACCUUAAAUUUGGAGCAAAUCCUUUCCACAAUUCAUACGGCGUCUUGUCUAGCUUUUUGUGUGGCACCCUGUUCAAAAUAUAGCAAGCAGAUAACACAGCUUCCCCCCCACAUGUUAUCAGGCAAUCCUGAACUUAAAAGCAUAGCAUUCAUCAUAUUCUUUAAAGUUCUAUUUUUUCUUUCAGCUAUGCCUUUUGUUGAGGCGUAUGAGGGGCACUAAAAUCAUCACUAUUCCAUUUUUUUCACAAAACUCUUUAAGAAAGGUUGUGCUAUACUCUCCUCCUCGAUCAGAUCUAAUUCUCUUGAUCUUUCUAUUUAGUUGAUUUUCUACUUCCGUUUUGUAUUUAAGAAACAUUUCUGCAGCUUCGUCUUUAGACUUUAACAAAUAAAUUCUAGUGUAUCUAGAAAAGUCAUCUAUAAAGCUUAUGUAAUAUUUCUUACCUCCUCUACUCACGGUGUUUCUAAAGUCCGCAAGAUCAGUGUGAAUAAGCUCUAGCAGUUCAGUCUUCCUAUGUUCGACAGAUUUAAACGGCUUUUUAGCAAAUUUAGCUUCUACACAUAUUUCGCACUUAGAUAAAUUAUGCAUAUCCAUGGCAUUAACUAGUCCAAGUUUUCGAAGUCUUUUAAUAGAAGCUAAAUUCAAAUGUCCGAGCCUUCCAUGCCAAAGGUUGUAGGAUUCAGUGAGAUAAGCAGAACUAAUACUCUUUUCAUUCAUGAUUUCCGAAGUUACAUUGAGAACAAAAAUACCAUUGCUAAGGUAGCCUUUUCCUACGAAUUCAUUAUUCCUAGUUAACACAACUUUAUCAGACUCAAAGACAAUUUUCAAGCCGGCUUUGUUAAGCAAAGCACCAGAGACUAGAUUCCUACGCAUAGAAGGAACAUACAAAGCAUUCUUCAAAGAAAGAGUUUUUCCAGAUGUCAAUUUAAGCAUUAGAUUUCCUUUACCAAGAACUCCAGCCACGCUGGAGUUACCCAUGUAGACGACUUCUCCUUCUCCAGCUUCUUCAAAGUUGUGGAACAGUUCUUUCUUGCUGCAGAAGUGUCUAGAGGCUCCCGUAUCAAGAACCCAUUCUGACUUGUUUUCCACCAAGUUUGCCUCGACGACAGCAGCAAUAAUCUCGUCAUCCUUUUCAUCGCACUCAUCUUCUUCAGCUACAUAGGCUUGGUUCUUGUUUGCUGCAGGUCUGUUUGGCGGUAGUCCUCGUCGUUGGUGGCAUUGAUAUGCCUUGUGUCCUGGAGCACCACAGACGUAGCAAGUAACUUUCGUGUUUUUCUUCCCAAUCUUUUUGUCGGCUUUGUUGAAGCUUGGCUUCUUUACAAACUGACUGGUCUUUGGGGAAAAUCCACUUUUAUUAUUUCCUGAAGCUGCACCGGAUUCAACCAAGUUAGCUUUAAACGAAUCAACAAAAUUAAAAGACUUAUCUUUGAGACGAUUCGCCUCCUCUGUUCGCAUAUGGCUGAUGAGUUCUUGCAGAGUAAGGUCUCGUUUUUUGUGCUUAAGCUGAUUCCUAUAAUCAGUCCAGGAGGGUGGAAAUUUCUCGAGCAAAACAUUGGCUUGAAGUAUUUCGCACAUCUUCAUGCCCUCGUUCAAGACUUCCGCUGUGAGGUUUUCAUAUUCGUGAAGUUGAUCCAUGAUAGGCUUGUCAUCAACCAUUCGAAAGAGUAGCCACUUUUCCACCACAUAUUUUUUCUUUCCGGCAUCGUCGGCUCCAUACUUCUUCUCAAGCUGGUCCCAAAUCUGCUUCGCUGAUUUCAGGUUCACGAACAAAUCAAAAAGGGUGUUCGUCAUGUGAUUCAGCAGGUGGCCACGGACUGUCUUGUUGUCCUUCUCAAGUUUCCUUUGCUCUUCAGCGUUUGUUUUCGUGACAGAUGGUUCUUCCGGCGUGUUGGCUGUGCCGGAACCCGACACCGAGUCUGAAGGAGAGAAAUCAUUGAAGAGGACGUAGUCGACUUCGAGCUGUUCGAAGAAAAUUAGGAGCUUUUGAGACCAGCGCUUGUAGUUUGUUCCAUCAAGCGGCUCUAGUUUGGAAAGAUCCGGCAACGACCUCGGAGUGGAAGAGGCCAUUAAAUCGUUUUCAGAUUGUUGGAACGCUGCCAAGAGCUCAGCUUAGAAACUAGAAACCAAAGAAAGUAAAAGAAGAAAUCUGCAGAACAGAAGCACGCAACAAGGUGUUUAGUUAAAAAGUCAAACCAGAAAACAGAGAGAAAAAAGAAAGAAAGAAAGUGGGCUGCGCCGUGGACGAUCCACUGCCCUGAAAACGAUUUAGGCCGACUCAAUUGUGCUAGUCCAGCAGGCCAAUCGUUCCCCAAGGUUAACGCAACUAUCAAGCAAAGUAUGCACACUCUACUUUACUUAAUUUGGAGAUAUUCAAACUAGUGCUCAAGACUCAGAAGAAGAAAGAAGGCAAUGGUUCAUCUGCUCCCUCCCCCAAACGUCUGGAACCAAAUAAAUAAUCAAGAGGCUUACCCGUCUAGCAGAAAAAGCGGAGCACCAAAUAACAGAAAGAGACGUUGGCAUCCCACGAACUAUGACUGUUUCCAAGUUCUGUUUAGCUAGGGCUCAAGUCAAAUAAAAACAUGGGACUAGGAAAAGUAGCCCAAAUAAAGACAAUAAAAAAGAAGCCCAUAACAAUUAAAGAGAAGAGCCCAAAAGACUCUAACUAUUUCCAACAAUACUCGAGGGUCGGAACUAACCCUAAAGAACAACACAACAGUUAUAAAAUCCAAGCGUGCCUCUCCGAGUCAACAACUCCAGGAAAAACGAAUAAAGGCAAGAACCCAAGGAUGCGCACGCCAAAGCAGCCACGACUCCAAGAGCAUUUAAGGAAACCGACCUGCCUUAGCUGGAACACACAGAACCUAGCCCCUAACUCCCACUCACCAAACCCUCGAUUCAUAUCAAUCGCUAGCACAAAAAAUAACCUCCCCCGAAUUAUCAACAUGCAGCACUUCUGCCAUAAUCUGAUGACGUUUUGUUUUGUCAAGAAGAGGUAAGUGUAUCCUAGAAAGAGUUUCAGUCGAGAAGUUGAAUGACAUAAUACAUUUGGGUUCCCCAAAAGAUGCUCCAAAAUAAAAAAUAUCAUUUAUGCAAGUAGAAGUGGGUGCGUACGUGCGGAAGCCGGUGACUGGUAUUUCUUUCCAUGAAUUACUUUUGAGUGAAUACAACCAAAUCAAAAUCCAAUGAUCUUCCUCAUCUAUCGUGAUAGUCCUAACAAGUUGCAACAAUUUGUAAUGUUCACGUGUAUGGUCAGACCACAUUCCAAAUGCCACCGCAGAGAAAUCAAGAAAAGGAUUGGGUUCCACAUAAUAUGCUCGUCAUUAACAUUCAUAAAGUGGAGUACACCAUUACAAGUAGCGCCAUGGAAAAUCCAUUCAUGAUUUAUAAGAGAGGGAGGAUAAUCAUAAAAGUAAUAUGUUGGUGACAUGCUGCCAUCCUCUUCAUCAACUGAAUAUGCACUAAGGGGGGUGUAUUAGGGGGUGUAUUAAUUCAAGAUUUUUAUAGAUUUUAAAAAUCCCUAAAUUUUAAAAGUCUAUAGAAUUCUCACAGAAACUUCAUGAUUUUGAAUGAAUUCUUGAUCGGAUUUUUAAUGAAUUAGCAAGAAUUUGACUUGAUAUUUUCGGAUUUGAAAUCCACAAAUCCAGCAAGCGCUGGGCUUCAACGGGCGAUAGACAGAAAUCCAGCGGCCGCUAGGGGCCCAUGAGCGUUGGAUACCCAGCGAGCGCUGGCCGCUGGGUGCCCUAAUUUUCUUAUUUCCUCCCUUUCCAUCCGCGCCGCUGCCUCCUAUUUUCUCCAGCGACCGCUGCCUCCCAUCUCCACCGCGCUCCACCCCACGCCUCUACCAGAUUCACUGCCUCCUAUUUUCUCCAAAUCCGCUUGUGUUUGAAAUAAAAACGGAGGAGCCAUUUUGAAAAUUGUGAAUCGUGAUUUGAAGAUUCCAAAAAUUCGUUCAAUCACGUUUCGCAAUGAUGCAUGUCGAAGAUUGAACAACUCUGCAUUUCUGGGGUGACGACCUUGAGCACCGAAAUCUUUGAGAUGAUAUCGAACACAACGUAAUGGAGCCAAAAACUGACGACGAUUAGCAAAUCCACAAUCCACUAGGAAAUAUUUACCUUGAGGCACAUGAAGUCCAUUAGGUCUCGAUGAUGCGUCACUUAAAAAAUUUAAAUCAUGGGCCGAGCAUUCCCGUCCACUAAGCACAUAGAUGAACUGCAAAUCAAAGUUGCAAGCUGCCAAAACAUUUUGAGAUUGCACCCCAUGACGGUUACGAUAACUGUUUACGUCUCUGCCUGUGACCAUGGCCGGGAUAUGAGUUCCAUCUAUAGCUCCGAUACAAUCCUAAAAUAAAGUGAAUAUGUUAUACAAAUAAAGCAUAAAAAAUUGAUAUACUACAAUAACAACAAUAUAAUAUCGAAAUAAUUCAUACCUUAAAGAAAUGAUUAAAUCUUGUACGUUCUCGAAUUUUAGCGGGUAUUGCUCGGCUUAACCAUCAUGUCCGGUGCUAUGGUGUUCAAUGCUCUCAAGAUUUUGUUGAAGUUCCGACUAAUAGCAAAAUGCGAACGAUCAAGCCUUUGACGAACAUUACAAUAACGAUCGUUGUGUCCGACAAUGAUCAAGAAUGUUGCCACCAUUUCUUCAACAGUUAUGUAUCGUGUAUCUUGAACACGAGUUUUCUCUCUAAUGAUCCGGCAUAAUUUGAUAAAGACAUUCGAAUACAUUCUAUACAACUACCGAAAACUGUUUGGAUCUCCGUCGAGCAUAUUACGUACAAAAUGGAAUUUCCCUAGUCUUUGGUCGUCGCAUCAAAGAGUUUCAAUAGCCGGAGGCAUCGUCAUAAUAUUUUCCAAUAAAAUGAUAAUUGCCUUAGUUGCCUCCAUCAAGAGCCUAACCCGAUCACAAUAUUCAAGCUCCAUUUCUGUUUCAAUUUUAUUUUCAAGUUCAUCUUUCUUUUCAUCUUCAAUUUCAUCUUCAAUUUUAUCUUCAUAAUUCAUGCUGCAUGAAUUAUGAAGAUACACGAUACAUAACUGUUGAAGAAAUGGUGGCAAUAUGUUCAAGAUACACGAUACAUAACUGUUGAAGAAAUGGUGGCAACAUUCUUGAUCAUUGUCAGACACAACGAUCGUUAUUCUUAUGUUCGUCAAAAGUUUGAUCCUUCGCAUUUUGCUACUAGUCGGAACUUCAAUAAAAUAUUGAGAGCAUUGAACACCAUAGCACCGGACAUGAUGGUUAAGCCGACUACAGCAAUACCCGCUAAAAUUCGAGAACGUACAAGAUUUAAUCCUUUUUUUAAGGUAUGAAUUAUUUCGAUAUUAUAUUGUUGCUAUUGUAGUAUAUCAAUUUUUUAUGCUUUAUUUGUAUAACAUAUUCACUUUAUUUUAGGAUUGUAUCGGAGCUAUAGAUGGAACUCAUAUCCCGGCCAUGGUCACAGGCAGAGACGUAAACAGUUAUCGUAACCGUCAUGAGGUGCAAUCUCAAAAUGUUUUGACAGCUUGCAACUUUGAUUUGCAGUUCAUCUAUGUGCUUAGUGGACGGGAAUGCUCGGCCCAUGAUUUAAAUUUUUUAAGUGACGCAUUAUCGAGACCUAAUGGACUUCAUGUGCCUCAAGGUAAAUAUUUCCUAGUGGAUUGUGGAUUUGCUAAUCGCCGUCAGUUUUUGGCUCCGUUACGUGGUGUUCGAUAUCAUCUCAAAGGUUUCGGUGGUCAAGGUCGCCACCCCAGAAAUGCAGAUGAGUUGUUCAAUCUUCGACAUGCAUAAUUGCGAAACGUGAUUGAGCGAAUUUUUAGAAUCUUCAAAUCACGAUUCACAAUUUUCAAAAUGACUCCUCUGUUUUCAUUUCAAACACAAGCGGAUUUGGAGAAAAUAGGAGGCAACGAAUCUGGUAGAGGCGUGGGGUGGAGCGCGGUGGAGGUGGGAGGCAGCGGCGCGGAUGGAAAGGGAGGAAAUAAGAAAAUUAGCAUGACAAGGCCAGCGCUCGCUGGGUAUCCAACGCUCAUGGGCCCCUAGCGGCCGCUGGAUUUCUGUCUAUCGCCCGUUGAAGCCCAACGCUUGCUGGAUUUGUGGAUUUCAAAUCCGAAAAUAUCAAGUCAAAUUGUUGCUAAUUCAUUAAAAAUCCGAUCAAGAAUUCAUUCAAAAUCAUGAAGAUUCUGUGAGAAUUCUAUAGACUUUUAAAAUCUAUAAAAAUCUUGAAUUAAUACACCCCCUAAUACACCCCCCUUAGUGCAUAUUCAGUUGAUGAAGAGGAUGGCAGCAUGUCACCAACAUAUUACUUUUAUGAUUAUCCUCCCUCUCGUAUAAAUCAUGAAUGGAUUUUCCAUGGCGCUACUUGUAAUGGUGCACCUAGCGAAUAUGAACUUUGGGUUAUGAAUGAUGGAUUGUGGACUAGAGAAUCUGUUUUCCAUGUUUGUAGUGUUCACGAGCCGGUAUGGUUUUCCAAAAACGGUCGGUUUCUAUAUUUUCAAAGCUUCAAGGAUGAAGUAGUGGUGUUUGAUCGUGCCACUGGGAGAUCGAGGAAUCUUGGUAUCCAUUGUUAUUCAACUGAAUUAAAAUUUUAUCCAUUUGCUGAGAGCUUUGUCGAACUCAAUGGAGAUUCAGCUGUUGAGGUAAAUUCUUAAUUAUCACAUCGGUUAUGGAUGUGAUGAUGAGUAUUUGCAGAGGAUUAGUUUCCCACACUCCCUCAAGAAGUUGAACUUAUCUCUCUAUUAUAAUACGAAGUUGGAAGAGAUACUGCAAAAGAGCUUCGUCUUCGAGGUUUGGAUGAAUUGGAGGAGAUCCCUUCCGAAGUUGGAGAAAUAGCAACGCUGAAAUCAAUUACUUUGAAAUAUUGCAGUGAAUCAGCGGUAGUGUCAGCUAAAAAGAUAGUAGAAGAACAACAGGAUUUAUAUGGAGACCAACUUGACCUUCAUGUUCGAGCUAUACUUUUUUAUAGAUUUCGUGACCUAAAUUUUUAAUUUUAUAUAUAGGUUAUGCCUAUAUACGUCAUAAAUAUGACGUAGUACAUGAUUUUACGCGUGAAAGGCAUCCAUGAUUCAUGCUAAAUUACUAUAUUAAUAA
rnacentral:lncRNA from 1 species